GAUGAACGCUGGCGGCGUGCUUAACACAUGCAAGUCGAACGAUGAAGCCGGAGCUUGCUCUGGUGAAUUAGUGGCGAACGGGUGAGUAACACGUGAGUAACCUGCCCUUGACUCUGGGAUAACUGCGGGAAACUGUAGCUAAUACCGGAUACGACCCUCGGAGGCAUCUCCUGGGGGUGGAAAGAAUUUCGGUCAAGGAUGGACUCGCGGCCUAUCAGCUAGUUGGUGAGGUAAAGGCUCACCAAGGCGACGACGGGUAGCCGGCCUGAGAGGGGGCGCGGCCACACUGGGACUGAGACAGGGGCCAGACGCCUACGGGAGGCAGCAGUGGGGAAUAUUGCUCAAUGGGCGCAAGCCUGAUGCAGCAACGCCGCGUGAGGGAUGACGGCCUUCGGGUUGUAAACCUCUUUUAGUAGGGAAGAAGCGAAAGUGACGGUACCUGCAGAAAAAGCACCGGCUAACUACGUGCCAGCAGCCGCCGUAA
rnacentral:rRNA from 1 species